rnacentral:rRNA from 1 species
UUUUCGGAUGGAAGAGAGUUCAGCUUAGUGGCGAACGGGUGAGUAACACGUGAGCAACCUGCCUUUCAGUGGGGGACAACAGUUGGAAACGACUGCUAAUACCGCAUGAUACAUUUGGGUGGCAUCAUCUGAAUGUCAAAGAUUUAUCGCUGAAAGAUGGCCUCGCGUCUGAUUAGCUAGUUGGUGGGGUAACGGCCCACCAAGGCGACGAUCAGUAGCCGGCCUGAGAGGGUGAACGGCCACAUUGGGACUGAGACACGGCCCAAACUCC